GGCUCGGUGGUGUAGUUGGUUAUCACGUCAGUCUAACACUGUUAGUUCACUGAAGGUCCCGAGUUCAAACCUCGGCUGAGUCA
rnacentral:tRNA from 1 species